AGGAGAGAGAAAAGAGUGAAAGAGAGAGAAAAGAGGAAAGGAGUUUCUCUCUCCUUUCCUCUUCUCUCUCUCUUUCACUCUUUUCUCUGUCAUUC
rnacentral:pre_miRNA from 1 species